rnacentral:lncRNA from 1 species
GAGCCAUGUGGGCAGAGCGCCCUGGGCUGACUGAGCCCAGCUCUGUCUGGUAGGUCACACCCACUUGUGACCAGAAGCCAGUGAGUACCCCCAGCAUGCCCAACAGCACCCCACAGAACCCCAAAGGUACCGCCACAACAGAGACCACCACCCCCCGCCCCGGCCUCUUGGCUGUACAGCUACAUGGUGCCACACUACAGAGGCACAGGGGGACAUAAAGGCCAUUCUUCUGAGCUGCAGAAAUGAACAAAAGAGAGAAGGCCUCUCAGGCUCCAUGAUGAAAACUGAAGCCCACUGGAAAAGUGCAGAAAAUCUCUGCAAUAAAGGCACACCAGACCACCAUACUGGCCAGCAAGACUGAAGAACUUCCCAAGGGAGAAAAGUCAGUCACAGAAAAAUUAGCUGAGUUUUAUGCCAUCUCCUCUUUCUACAGAGACACAAAAGCUGAAUUAGAUCAACUCUUAUGUGGUCAAGGAAACAAGGGGAUCUCAGCCCUCAAAGAGAUCACCUGGGUCACAUCCUUCUGCCAACAGCUCAGAAGGAUUAUCUGGCAUUCAUUCAAACACUUGCUGGGUUAUCCCCCUGUCACUUUAGUUCAGAUGUUCUGGUGAUGAAUUCUUGACAAUCCAAGGCAUCAAUCUCUCACCUUGAGGCUUGUGGAAGAAAUCACUUGAUUUUGACUUGUACAAUAAUUAUCUCCCUUACAAUUGCC